GGGGUGCUCGAGUGGCGAACGGGCGAGUAACACGUGAGUAACCUGCCCUUGACUUUGGGAUAACUUCAGGAAACUGGGGCUAAUACCGGAUAGGAGCUCCUGCUGCAUGGUGGGGGUUGGAAAGUUUCGGCGGUUGGGGAUGGACUCGCGGCUUAUCAGCUUGUUGGUGGGGUAGUGGCUUACCAAGGCUUUGACGGGUAGCCGGCCUGAGAGGGUGACCGGCCACAUUGGGACUGAGAUACGGCCCAG
rnacentral:rRNA from 1 species